rnacentral:rRNA from 1 species
CCUACGGGUGGCAGCAGUCGAGAAUCAUUCACAAUGGGGGAAACCCUGAUGGUGCGACGCCGCGUGGGGGAAUGAAGGUCUUCGGAUUGUAAACCCCUGUCAUGUGGGAGCAAAUUAAAAAUAUAGUACCACAAGAGGAAGAGACUGCUAACUCUGUGCCAGCAGCCUCGGUAAUACAGAGGUCUCAAGCGGUGUUCGGAAUCACUGGGCGUAAAGCGUGCGUAGGCUGUUUCGUAAGUCGUGUGUGAAAGGCGCGGGCUUAAACCGCGGACGGCAUAUGAUACUACGAAACUAGAGUAAGGGAGGGGGAACCGGAAUUCUCGGUGUAGCAGUGAAAUGCGUAGAUAUAGGGAAGAACACUCGUGGCGAAGGCGGGUUACUGGACAUUAACUGACGCUGAGGCACGAAGGCCAGGGGAGCGAAAGGGAUUAGAUACCCUAGUAGUC